rnacentral:rRNA from 1 species
GACGAACGCUGGCGGCGUGCUUAACACAUGCAAGUCGAGCGGAAAGGCCCUUCGUGGUACUCGAGCGGCGCACGGGUGAGUAACACGUGAGUAACCUUCCCUAGUCUUUGGGAUAACCCUCGGAAACGGCGGCUAAUACCGUAUACUCCUUCUAAAUCUCAUGUUUUGGUGGGGAAGGUUUUUCUGUCUGGGAUGGUCUCGCGACCUAUCAGCUUGGUGGUGGGGUAAUGGCGUACCAAGGCGAGGACGCGUAGCCGGCCUGCGAGGGCGACCGGCCACCCUGGGCCUGGGACACGGCCCAGCCUCCUCUGGGACGCAGCGGUGGAGAAUAUUACACAGUGCGCGGAAGCCUGAUGCAGCGACGCCGCGUGGGGGAUGACGGCCAUCGGGUAGUAAGCCUAUUCCAGCAGGGACGAAGCGUAAGUGACGGUACCUGCAGAAGAAGCGCCGGCCAACUACGUG